rnacentral:lncRNA from 7 species
AUUAAAAAGUGCAGGGCUCGGGGAUGUCAGCCGGCAGCCAAUCAGACCGCAUGGCCCAAGGUGAGGGAUGAGUCUCUGCUCAGCGCUGUCAAUCAUCUUCUCCUCCCCCUCCACCCCACAACUUUGUUCCUCGCUCCCACCGACAAACCAUCUUUGCAGGAGGCAGUGGGAUUGGAGAUAUACCAAAAAUAGAAAGAAAGAAACUGUCUGGAGAAGGAGACAGGACUGUGGAUUCUCCUGGAUUGAUUUUCACCAUGCGUUUCAACACCCUGAGCCUAGGAACUAAAGCUUUUCCUGGUGCAGUUCAGCUGCCCUGGGUGGAUUUACUGCACAGCCAACGCGAUGCAAAGAGGCUGACUCGAGGCACAGAGCAAGAGAUGGACAAUGUGGGGCUGCUGCUGGUGGAGAGGGUUCAGGCACCGUGCUGGGGAAGUCAGAGGACGUGCAAGACCUGCGAUCCAUAGUGUAGCACUAAGCAAUGGCACCAGAGGGCUUGACUUGCAGAUGGGCUCUUGGGCACUAAAUGUUGAAUUGCACAUUCUGGCAGCUCUGGGCAUGGCCAGAAACUGAAAGUGAGAAGAUGGGUUCCUCAGUACCAGUGGGGUCUUCGGAGGUUUCAGGUUUCAGAAGCAUCUGAAUUCCUUGUUUCGAGGACCUAAAUUUUGGUCCUGGUAUUUAACUGGAGGUAAAAUAGGAAAAUGGCUUUUUGAUGGUUCUAGCCAUCAGUCCUAAAGUAAAUCAUUAUUAUAAAGAAUGUAAAGACAUGAAGAAAUCCUUCCCCAAAGUAUGAAUGAUCCGUCUAAGUCCCUUCCAUUUUAAACUACUUAAAUCCCCUGUAUUUCUGUGGGCAAUGUUUGCUGCUACCUUAUGGCUGGUAAUACUAACUUUCUCAGUUUUCUUAGUCAACGGGGCUCCUUUAUGUUCCCUGCCCCUAAAAAACUCUCCUCCUCUGCUCCCUGUGGUUCUUCAUAUCUCAGUUAAUUUUAUCUGGACACACUAAGACUGUGUGUCCUUACCUAACAUAGAGACAGCAAUUUGUAUUAACACCUGAGCAGAGUGAUCUAAAGAAGGACCUCCGCAGAUAUUGGAUCACUGUUCUAUGGACAGGAACAUCUUCUCAUAUUUACCUGUAUCUUUUCAACAUGCUCCAUUGGCAGUUAUAUGGGAACAUGCUCCAUAAUGUGGACACUGCAUGCACCUACCUCUGCUUUCCUUCUUGUCACAAACUCUUUAUAACCCAUGUUAUUGAAAUCCUGAAUCACUCAACUGACAUUUUCUCUCUUCCAGAUAAUGCUGUGAGCAUUUUUGUACCAAACUUUUGCCAAGAUAUCUCAGAAGGUCUCAUGGCCAAGGGGCUGGGAUUUCUGUGUUGGCUUUUGCUUUGUUUUCUUCAGUUUGUUCAUUUAAAAACAAGAGAUUGCAUUU